AAUCUGCAAUGUUUGAAGAUCUACGAUCAGUGAUACGAAAAAACGGAAACAUACAAACUGUAGCAUACAUAGUUUUAAAAGCAUCGCGAAGAUUCUCGUCAUUCAUAAGCAUGUACACACUACAUAGGCACUAUACACACGCUUCUGGGUAAAACGCAAAGAGAAUUUCAUGGAAGAAACCAAAAGAGGAGUACGUAUUUAGCCGCAGCUGCGGUAAAUAAUGUCGCUAAAGCCCGGAUCUUAUUUGAUGAAUUAAAUCGCCACUGUCAUUAAGCCCCAUUUCGCG
rnacentral:misc_RNA from 1 species